ensembl:misc_RNA Metazoa_SRP Metazoan signal recognition particle RNA
GCUGGGCAUGGUGGCUCAUGCCUGUAAUCCUAGCACUUUGGGAGGCUGAGGCAGGUGGAUCACCUGAGGUCAGGAGUUUGAGACUAGCCUGGCCAACAUGGUGAAAACCCGUCUCUA